rnacentral:sRNA from 1 species
UCGAAAGACAUUCAUUCAAGAGAUCCUAACGUGAUUAUCGUAAAUAGCUGGAAUUGUAGAUAUUUACAAUGACAUAGAUCAUUUUUCUUCGACGUAAUUACGGCCUAAUGUCGAGACAAGAAUAAUAUGACGCUGAUCUGUGUUUUGACAAGAAUAUGAAUGAUCUUAAGAAAAGGCUUCGCUGAAUCAAUUGGAAGACAGCGUCUUCAAUUGUCCUACUAAAUUCUUUACGGAUGACAUCUGGGUCUGGGGAGAUCAUGCAAAAAAAUAAGACAUCAUUUAUAACUUUCAACCUUCCGCUCACAGGACAAAUUCUCGAAGACGCUACGAAAAGAUGCUGAGCUUGAUCAUAAUUCUUCAGGCUCCCAAUUCAAGAAUACAAUUACUUAGCGUGGGUGCUUCUGCUCAGUCUUCGUUUCCUAUCUCCACAUACGAAUCACUCGCUUGUUACUAAUUCGAAUAAUUUACUGCUGUAAGGAGUCGUACCGCCAACUAAAUCUGAAUAACAAUUUGGCUGCUAGAAGUCAAAAAGUAGGCGCUGCAAUGAUUAUGUGGUAUGAUCAGAUUGUGUCGCAACAUUCAGCGGGGUUUUGACUCAAUGGGACCGCUGCUAAUAAAGUGUUUAACUAGCGAAUUUUGGAACACACCCGUUGACAAAAGUAUAAGGAGUCUCUUUCCGUGAGUUCCCCUCUUCCUCUCACUGCACUUCAACUAUGCCUUAUAGCAACCAAGAAGCUAGAAAAUGCCAACUAUUAAAAAGAUAACCUCUUUGGAAUUAAAUAAAACGGAGAUUAUCUUGGGAUCUAUUUCACAAAUUUACGGCUAAUUGGAAUGAACAGCGCCAAGUAGCACUGGACAAACUGCAGAGAGUAUUAGAACUUGCUUUAUUCCGUAUAUCGUACUUUAGGUCGUCAGUUUUACCACUUCGGUACGCAAAUGAAAAUAAAAAGCUCAUUCACAACUUAGACACAAUUUCGCCGUUUACAAGUAGCUGAAAAGUCCAUCUAUCGAAUUAUGAAUGAUACUAUUUUAAAUAUCGUCGUUACUGCACUCGUUUUCCACGUUCUUUUUAUCCACACAUCCGAUGUUUUAUUUACAGUUGAGCAUCUCAGGGCCAGCGACAAAUAUAAACAUAUUAUACUCAAAAUGAAGCUCGUUGAAAAGAGAAUAUUUCUUAACCUCUUUUACAGUGCUUUCAACACCUUUUCACCUGUGUGCCAUGUCAGAUUAAGGAUGCUCAACUUUUCGAAUUAUUAUUACAAAUUUCAAAGAAAUUACUAGUCCUUUUUGUCCCCUAAUGUAUCCCUCAUUUCAUACCGUCGUUUUGGGGUUCCAACUACGUAUAGCUUUCAAGUGUGGUUUUACGGUAAGAACAACCCCCCAUCGGUUGGUGCGGAAUACUUUCCUAUUCUCAUCGAGAGCCGAGCCAUACACCUAAGGUGGACAGAAAGCUAAAAUUCCAAAACAGAAAAAUCUAACAUCUUUGCUCCCUUACAAGUAGGAACGCUGGCGUAUCAACCCGUCUCCAGAUUUGCCCAGCAUUUCUGUAGAACACCCAAUGCGAAUGAAGACUAAUGAAUAUUGUAAAGACAAAAAAUAGGAAAAGUUUAAUUAGUGAUGGUUCUCACCACCCCAAAACGGUCACUUGCAUGCAUUGAGGACAUGCACCUGCAGUACUUGUUUUUCUCGAAUGUUUUUACCAUCUCUUUUUUCCUUAUCUGAGCUACUGACGCAGACGGACAUUGUUUCAUAUUUCGAAAGCUGUGCGGGAAAACGGACCCUAACACGAAUGUGAAUGCGCUAAUCAGUAUUUCCACCACAUGAAACCUGCUACUUUUUCAGUCCUCUUCGUAUGCAUUUCCCAAAAUUCAUUCGUAGCCUUGUCAACUUAGACUCAGUUCCACGGCGUGCAGGACGGGGUAUUAUGAAUAAAAGGAUCCACGGGUGAGAUUUGUUCUGUGUUUUAGGUAUGGAGUUUUGUACCACAAAACUUUAGGAAUACCGGAUUUUGUGCCUACGCCAGCCCCAGAGUAUGUUCUCACAGCUGUAAUUCCUAGUGAUCUUUUCCUGGCUCCAAUAGGAACGCCGGUAGGCAAAUUAAACUUUCGCGGCAGGAAAAAAAAGGCUUUUUCUUUUUUGCCUUUCAGUUUCUCGGAAUGUGGCAUUACAUAAGCAUAAUCCUUUUUGGGUGUGCCUGGAAAGUUCAAAUUAAGGUUUUUUUCUUCUGUUUUCUUGACAAGAAAAUGUCGCCCAAAGAGUUUCGGCCGUUAUUUUCCUAUCGAAGUGGGUCCUUUUUGUCUUUAGUCCUUCUCUGGGGCUAGCGAUCACUGCAAAAUUAGGCUUCACUGGUACGAGUUAACUUUUUUUCUUUUUUUUUGUCAUCCUUUUCUUUGGGGCUAAGAAUGGACUUCCCUUUUCUUUUUCUUUGUUGCAGCAGUGGCUUCAAAGAACUGCUGAUUGCUCAAGGCAAUCAGUCCGAGCGUUUAGAAGGUGAUUGUAGGCAGAAAUUAACUUUGCGGUAAAAGAAUGACAUUCUUUCUUAAAAGAAAAAUUAGCUUUUUUUUGUCAGGCAUUGCACAAACUUUUUUAUUUCUGCCUAUACUCUUAAACAGAUCAGUCAUUCAUGUUGUCUUUUUAACGGUCGUACUGGGACAUCGCAUGCCUUGGGAUUCCGUAAUUAGGUGCAACAAUACGGGCACAACUCAUUCUGCGCUAUCUUCACGGACUGAACUUCUAUUGCCUAUCGGUGGUGUGAUUAACAAUUGGAAGCGCAGAGCUUGGAAUGGAUUUCCAAUUCAAUGGAUUUGGAGGUAUUCGUUUGUUUACUAAUAUUUACUUUGAGGACAUUGCCCAACCCUAAAAGUGCCUGUUCCAGAAUAGAAUAACAUUAUGAUACGUUUUCUUGACCGCUGAGCAAUUUAAAGCAAUUAUUAGGGUACGAUUGUUUCUAGAGAAAUGUGGGUCAUCUUUUUAGGUCCAUUCUCUUCUGAUGAGGUAACCUUUACAAAAAUGUCAUAGAGUUACCAAUUGGGAUUCAAGGCAUCAUCGCAAUAUACUUCGUUCUCUUACGGAGAAAUUAAGCUCUUUCUACUUUGAAUUAACUGUUAGACUUGUCUUAUCUGAGGAAUGUCCGUGUUCAAAUUAAAUAAAAAUUUAGGGCAGUUUUAUUUACCUUAACAAAUAUGUUCAAGCAUGUACGU